GCACCACACAGAAUUCCACAGAAUUCCAUAGGGCCAGCUGCAGACUUGGAAGGGACAUUUUACCCCCACCCUCUGGAGACCCAAGGCUCCUGGCUACUGGGCCUAUAGGGAGGCAGGAAGCUUCAGGCCUUCGUUUACCAGCAGGAAGGGAGGCUGGAAAGGGCUGCAGGUUCCUGUGUGCUGGAGAAAGCCAAAAAAUCCUGUCCAGCUGUUCUAUGCAGAGGCCAGUUGCCGGGAACUUUAAUCAGCAUGGCAUGUUUCUCUGGAAGGAUGCUGGGAGUUUCAUUCUCUCCGUGGUGAGGUGAGAGGAAAGGAUUGCACUUUUGCCUUUUUUUUUUGGUACCGGGGAUUGAACUUGGGUCCUUGCGCUUUCGAGGCAGGCCACUGAACUGCUGAGCUAAAUCCCAGGCCCUAGGUUUGAUUUUUUUUGCACUUUUGCCUUUGAUAGCAGUUCCCGGCUGGGUGGUUUUGUUAGGCAAAUGUUUGCUGAGGCCUUGUGGACC
rnacentral:lncRNA from 1 species